GACAGAGGAUGCAAGCGUUAUCCGGAAUGAUUGGGCGUAAAGCGUCUGUGGGCGGCUAAGUAAGUCGGGCGGUGAAAUCCCACGGCUCAACCGUGGAAGUGCACUCGAAACUGCAGGGCUAGAGUCCUGGAGAGGAAGGUGGAAUGCUUGGUGUAGAGGUGAAAUUCGUAGAUAUCAAGCGGAACACCGGUGGCGAAGGCGGCCUUCUGGACAGUGACUGACGCUGAGACGGCGAAAGCGUGGGGAGCAAACAGG
rnacentral:rRNA from 1 species